rnacentral:sRNA from 1 species
AAUAUAUCUGCCUGGAUCGCAUAGAUCGUACUAUUUUUUUUGAAGUGUUACAUCCCCCAAGUGCUACCAAAAUGCCUUACAACAGCGUCACGCUUUAGUGUCACAAGUGCAACUUACCGGAGUUACCAGAGCGUCCCUAGGGAGCCGCUAUUGAUAGGAGAGCGUUAGCGAGCAGUGUUGGUUAACAGCCGAAGCAACACAAACAACAGACAAUCAAUCAUUAUCCAACACACGCCAGUUCUGCUUCUUCUGCAACGACAACAACGAAAACAGCAACAACAAGAACAACAACAACAACAAUUUCUUCCGGCUCUUCAGCUGCAGCAAUAACAGCUAAACGAUUGUGCAUUUUAUGAGCGAGCGUGCGAUUCGUGCUGGUCGUCGCUGUCGUCGGUUGAUGUCUCGGAUGUCGCUGAUGUGGAUGUGGAUGUCGACCGGUGCCGGUGGCCAAAACAUUCAGUUGAAUUCAACGCUGUGAGCAACACACGCUGGAAGCGCCGAUGGAACCGCGUCGCGACGCAGCGGCAACGGCAGCAGCGGCAGCGACAACAAUAACAACAACAA